AGUGCCGUGACGAACGUACAAAUAAGUAAACAACGCGGCUGGGAUCAUGGCUAGGCAACAGAUGAACGAAGAGUCUCUAUUCUCAAUCAUCAAGUCAUAACCUAUUUUAGGAAAAUGUUGUGCGAACAAGCGUUUUAUUCUACAGUAAAUGAAGCGUUAGGUGUUUUGAGAAACAGCCCUGCCCAAGUUCGCUGAGACUCGAAACGAGGGUGCUAACGGUAGCAUGAUGGAGUCUACCUCAGUUGGAGAAGCAGCUUGGCACAGCCAGCAGCCUUUGGUGCCUGAUCAUAAUGAUGACAGCCAGCAUUUAGACACCACCCAUAGACGAAACACCACUUCUCAUCGUGAUGAUGAUGAUGAUGAUGCCACUGAUGAGGACAUUGAAGAGGAAGAAGAAGAUGAAGAAGAUGCGGCAUCAAAACAAACAAGAUCUGAUUUAAAUAAUUGGAAUCGAGAGAAACCAUUGUUUUCCAGUGGUGUGGAACAUUCUGAGGCGUGUGCUUCUUUAAAGCUGUGCGAUGAAAGUGACGACAGUGUCCCUUACACCAUCAACAGAUACCUGAGGGAUUAUCAGCGAGAAGGCAUCAAGUUUAUUUUCAGAAACUACAGCCGUUCGAGAGGAUGUAUCCUGGGGGAUGACAUGGGCCUUGGAAAGACCGUGCAGGUCCUCGGUUUCCUAGCGGCUGCAUUGCACAAAAAAGGAACCUGGGAGGACAUUGAGAACAACAAGCCCGACUUUCUGCAAAGUCAGAUCCCAUCCAAGCCAAUGAAGCCAAAUAAACUUUUCCUGAUUGUGGCCCCGCUGUCAGUGCUGUAUAACUGGAAAGAUGAACUGGACACCUGGGGCCACUUCCAGUAUGCGGUGGUCCACGGGUUGAGGAAACAGGAGGAGCUGGCUCGCGUCAAGAAAGGCCGCGUGGAGAUCACGCUCACCACCUACGACACUCUCCGCCUCUGCCUGACUCAAUUUAACAACAUCAUCUGGUCUGCGGUGUUUGUAGACGAGGCUCACAAGAUAAAGAAUCCAAACUCUCAAAUCACACAAGCAAUGAAGGCUCUCAAAUGUCAGGUCAGAAUUGGCCUAACUGGCACCAUCCUUCAAAAUAACCUUGAGGAGUUGUGGUGUGUUAUGGACUGGGCAGUCCCUGGCUGUCUUGGCAACUUGGGCCAUUUUAAGAGCAAGGUAUCAGAUCCAAUUGAGCGAGGCCAGAGACACAGUGCAACCAAGCGAGCCUUAGCAACAGCGAGGAAGACCAUCAAAGACCUGGUGAGGAAGAUUUCCCGUUGUUUUCUCCGAAGGACCAAAUCGCUGAUCAAGGACCAACUCCCAAAGAAGGAUGACAGAGUGGUGUACUGCUCUCUGACUGAUUUUCAGCAGACAGUCUAUCAAACUGUACUGGACUCUGAAGAUGUCCAAUUGCUCCUGAAGUCUUCCGAGAAAUGCGAUUGCCAAAGCGGACGCUCUCGGAGGAGAUGCUGUUAUAAACUGAAUUCUGAGGGCGGGCCAGUAAAGGCACUAUACUUCACUUACCUGUCCAUCCUAAGGAAGGUUGCCAGUCACGUGGCACUGCUUCAGUCCACUGCAGGCACCAGUAAGAAACAGGAAAAGUGUGUCAGCGCUAUUUGUCAAAAGGUGUUCCAGAAGUUUCCAGACUUUAAUCAGAGGUGCAAAGAGGAAGCAUUUGAGGCACUGUCGGACCCGAUGUACAGCGGCAAAAUGAAGGUUUUGCAUCGGCUCCUAAGAUUCUAUCUGCAAAAGAAAGACAAGGUGCUCCUCUUUUCACUGUCAACUAAGCUUUUGGAUAUUCUGGAGAAUUACUGCAUGGCUGAGGGGCAUGACUAUAGCAGGUUGGAUGGGACCACCAAAGCCAAGGAGCGAGUCUGCAUCGUCAAAGAGUUCAACAUCUCCUCUCACAUCAAUCUGUGCCUGGUGUCUACUAUGGCGGGAGGUAUUGGUCUCAACUUUGUAGGGGCCAAUGUUGUGAUAUUAUUUGACCCAACAUGGAACCCAGCCAAUGACCUCCAGGCUAUCGACAGAGCAUAUCGCAUUGGCCAGUGCAGAGACGUGACUGUUUUCAGGCUCAUCUCUUUGGGGACUGUGGAGGAAAUUACCUACCUCAGACAAGUCUACAAGCAGCAAUUGCAGAGCUCUGUUGUUGGUGUGGAGAGCGCACGGCGAUACUUUGAUGCCGUGCAGGGCGCCCAUAAGGGGGAACUGUUUGGGAUCAAUAACCUCUUCAGGCUACAGACCCAAGGCACGUGCCUCACCCGCAAGAUACUUGAGCGCGAAGGACAAGUGGAGGCGGGUGUCAUGACAACCAGCACACACACAAAGGAGGAGGACAAGACGGCAAGCGUUAGCGAAGCUGGAGAUGCAUCGAAGGAGAGCACGGGUGCAUCUAAGAUCCCCGGAGGGCUUCUGGACUUCAGUAGCGAGAGUGAUGAUGAUGUCGAAGAGGAGCGGGGACGUAUGAGUGGAGCGGGUGGCGUGGAUUCCUCCGCCCGGCCUGCUCCGAUCAGUCUGCUGCAGGAUGGUUUUGCCCAACUGUUCCAAAUGCUUCACGCCAUGCCGGAAUCAGGUGAAGGUGACACAAGUUCAGGUAGUGAGGGGACAAGCACUUCGACCUCCAAAAGCUUCAUUAAGGGAAGAAGCUCGUUAAUAAAUGGAAAUAUAAAACCAGGGCAGAAGUCAUGCAGGAGUCAUUUAGAAGUGAGCGACGAGGAGAGCGAUAGAAGUUCCAAAAAUCCAGUGCAUCCUAAACAACGCCCCUUUGAACAUUAUUCCGAUGAGUCAGACGAUUUGGACUUUGAGACGCUCACACGAUCUAAGGAUGGUAGCCGGAAUUCUCACCAAAGCACAGGACGCAAAGUACAAAGAAGAAAAGGACCCAGUAAAAAGAGAAACAUAAACAGAGGCGCCGUGUUCACCGAGGACAUUGAGACCUGCACAACCUCAGACGACGGAGGCAUCACAAGUUCAGAUAAAGCCAAAGCAGGGCACUCAAAAGAUGGCUCAAGCGUGGGUCGACGUGAAGGUGCUUCAUUCACCUCUGUGAAAAGGCAAAAAUAUCCUUCAUGCACAGGAACCAUUGAUACCCUCUUAGGUGGGGUGCAGGAGGUGGCGUACACCCACUCCAACCAGCGCGUGGUGGGUGGGAGCAAAGCCGAGGAGUUGAUCAGUAGAGCCGCGGUGAAGGAUGUGUUUGAGCGCAAGAUGUACUCUCAAUUCCCUGCAAAUGAGGUUCUCACCCCCGAUGAGCAGAGCUUGCCAGAAACCCCACCCGACCACCAGCCUUGCCCCGCUCCUGAUCAACACCCUGUCACUUUCACCAAGAGCAUCGUGCAGCACACCGGAUGUAACACCUUCAUCUUGGGGGAGACCCCUCUGGCCAUACGUAGGCAGCAGCUGGAGGAGAUGGCGUCCAAGUUGAAUUUCCCCUCGGCCCAUCAACUCGCCGCCGACGUUCUGAGUAGCGACUCGUCUCAGAGGCUCGAAUGGCUGAGACGCUAUUACGUCACUCUCGGCCACCCUGAACUUGCCAGCUUCGUCACCAGCAACUUUCAACUGCCAGCCCAGACCCCGUCUCCGAAAAACACCGUGGCCAGAAGGCGUAAAUCCGACCAGAAGAGUCCUCUACCCAAGAAGAAGUUGAAACGGCAAAAAAAUGCGGAGGAGUCUCCAAGUAAUGUUCCAAAUGCGGGUCCUGAAAAACGGGAGGAGGCGGUCAGCCGUGCAAGACGUCAUACGAGAACAAAGAAGGCUAGUGUGUCCAGAGCUGUUGGUGGUCUUGGUGGGUGUCAGGCCAGUAACCACAGCAGCAGUUGUCCAGAACCUCAAGAGCUGGCGGCGAUUCCCCUCAACGUGGAGCAAAUGUUGACUACAAUAGUUCAAGAACACUCUGAGGAGGCUCCCCCUCAAGAACAGUCCUGCAUUCUUACAGAACUCUUGGGCGACACCUCCAUCCUGGAUGACUUGUUCAAACCCAAAUCCAAGGGUUCCCUCCAAAAAACGUCCACCUCAGUCCUAGAUUCUCCCACUUCAUCUAGAAGUUCUGUAAACAGGGGUACACGAGACUCUCCCCCCACACAAGAUAAAACAGCAAGACGAGGCCGCAGGGACUUCUGGGACAUUUUGAACGAGGGCAACGAAGAGAGUAUCAAUAGGCUCACAGACCUGGACGAGGUGCAGAGAGUGUGCCUCAAAACCAAUUUGGCAGCUCGAGCUAAUUCUGUGGAGGAGAGCAGAAGUCUCUGGAAGACCAAUGACAAGUUUAUAUGGAAGAAAUAAAUCUUUUAUGAAUGUUUUGACUACUAUUACCCAUUUUGCUCUGACCAUCCAAUCAGCAGAUUCCGAUCAUUCAUUUGGCAGCCGGUUGAAGUACGAGACAAUGGAACGGCUCAUCCACUGACUGACACUAGUUGGACCCACGCGGAGGUCAACUGGCUCGGCAAAGUGAUGGUGUGCUAUUGAGGCAACCCCACAGCUGUGAGGCUUCAUUUUCCCUCCCCAGUUCCUCAAAUGGAUUAGUGUGACAAGGGAAAGGUGAGACGUCUGUUUACAUUUCCUGCCAAAAUAAGCUGAGUGUCAGUGAACGUGUUACAAAGUGGAUGUGGUGACGCGGCCUUGUGUGGUUUAUUUGCACAAGUCAAGAUAGUGACACCUAGUUUGAUUUGAUUUGUUAAAAAAAACUGUGAAUGACCGAUCGGCGACCUUGAUUGACCCAAGGGGCUCCCGACCCACCCGAUCCAUCUGUAUGGCCCAGGUUUCCAUAUCCAGACUCCUCAUAGGCUACACAACAAUGUGAUGGAGCAUAUCCUAAGCGUACACUGUCAGAAAUGGAGGUUGAGCAGGAGUCAAGAAGUGUCCCUCAAGAUGCAAUCUGCAUUCAUUCUGUGUUGAAGGGCCAAUUACUAGACUCCGGGGUAGGUAGCUGUAUGUAGCUUUUCCAGGGCCAACAAAGUGCAGGUUUGUUCCCAAGUUGGAAAAGUCAAGUAUCAAGGCUACCAAAUACCGCCUCUGUGACAAGGUGUUCUACCCCCAAAGCAGAGGUGGGGAACUGAGGCCCCCUCUGGUUGGAAAGGGAGGUCAACCCAAAAAUAUAUUGUAUGUAUGUAUAUUCUGAUUCAUAUUGCGUACGUGGAAUAUGAGUUAAGCAAGAAACUCCACUCGCUUUUCAGUGGUCGGCCAUUUUGCCACUUGCUGUUGACUGAAAAUGUCAUCACAGUUGCUCAGAGCUCACGUAGCGACCAAUCACGACUAGCCGUGAUUGGUCGUUUUGGUGGAUGUACCGGAACUAAUUGUCGUGAGUGUGAUAAUAAACAAACAAUAGUUGGAAAGAUAUGUUUUAAAAGUUUAUAGAAGUUCAAAUUAGGUUCAGCUGCAAAGGUUAUAGUGCAUUUUAGGUUUAUCUUGAAAAUUCACCCAAAAAUUGAAUAUAAUUUUUUUCCUGAGCAGCAUUUGAUGUUGCCCUUUGUGAGUGAAACGGUGUUUUCUCACGGGGGUAAAUAUUGAGGGAGCAGAAAUAAACGUACGCAAGAAAGGCUGGAUUUUUUUUAAGCUAAACUGCCGGCCUCUCUGUUGGGCUGCCAAGGGCCUGUGCGUCACUUGAUCCAUUGUUUAGCGUACGGAGGUCUCGCUAAGCAAGCGGCUGCCUCCGCGCUCCAGCUGCAGCCCCUGCGCUGUUUAUGUUUGCAAGGCCCUUGGCCUUGAAGUGGGCCUACACAAGCAAAGCUGAUCCAUAUGUGAGCGGCAGCCCGAUGGAGAACUUUUUCUUCACCCUCUGUUCUUUUUUUAGUAUUCCACCUCUUUUCCCUUCUUUUCAUCCUUUUUCCGCCACAAUCUUGUCUUCACAAUCUGAUCUUCCAAACUGGGCUUAUCGUCGACAAAGAUUUGCUUGAAUUUCUCCUUUUGCUGUUCUAGUACUCAUUACAUUUUAAUUCUCACCAUAUUAUUUUUUCACUAAAAGAUUAAAUGACAGCUGGGUUAAUAGAAGAUUGAUAGCCGAUAGGGGCAAUGAGAACGACUUCCGUGUCUCAACUCUUGGCUCAUAGCUGGAAAAAGGGCCGCUGACCUCGUCUCCUGGGUGGGCCACUGCUGCCGUGUGCUUGUGUUGGACCAUCUUUGGACCGUUGCGUUUACUGAGACAACAGGCAAGGCGUGUCCAUGUCACACAGGCAGCCUCCUCAAAGACAUCGCUCCCCCCUCCUCAAUUUCCUUCCACCCAUGUCCCGCCUUCAACACUUCUAACACGCGUACGCUCCAUCACUCAUAUGGAGAGUGUCCUCCAGCAUGACCACCCACAGGCUUUGUGACGUGAAAACAACUUUCCCUUGACUUCCACUCACUUCUCGAGGCCACUUUUAUGGAGAGUUUGUGCUUAAUUGUGAUCUGUUCCAUCAGUAGCCCCCAGCUUUUUUUUUUUUGUACUACCAGGAGUCUUUUUAUAUUGCCCUAAAAUCACAUGGACUAGAAAAUACAACAUAGUGCAUGAUUCAGAAUUGAUCAAGAAUAUUACAGUGACCAGGGGCGUACAAAUGGGGGGGACAACAGGGGCCCAUACACACACAAUGAAUCUGAAUAUUUUUGUCCAUAUUUAUUAGUCAAAAAAUCCCUUUAUACAAAUAAAGCCAUUAGUGCAAUGCAACAGCCUGGUGGUUGGGGGAUGCUUGCACAGGAUACUCUUUAGCAACAUUAUUUCGUGAGUGAACAAGUACUAUGAUUAAAAGUCAGUCGCUUUUGA